UGGAGUUCUGGCCUGCGGCUGCGUCACAGACAACCGGACCGCGCCGGCCAAGGAGACGCACCCAAUGGAGUGCCGCCUGGGGGGCGUGGUUAUGCGCAGCUCCGCCCUUAUUCCCAGGGUAGAAAUAGAUACUUGCUUAGUUGAUGAGUUCUUUGGCUUCCCUGCACUGUGUGGUGGUGAGAUGUCUGUUCUGGGCCUAUCAGCCCUGCUAUAUGUUCUUUCCUGGAGUGCAGCCUUCCAUUCCUGUACUAUCUGUGGCCAUUUCACCAUGCUGACCGACAGCUGGGGCUGUCUGUAAUGGCUGGAGCCUGGGAGGCCCCAACAAUGGAGGUCAGAAGAAGAGACAAUGGACCUCUGUUGGUCCAGCUGUCCUCAUCAACCAAACAGGAGCAGCUGACCAGAGGAGCAGCUAGGGACUAACAUGGCAGCUGGGAGCCCAGGAGCCACAGGUUCGUGUGAAGGGAACCCGCAACAUUUGUUGUUUUGAUUUUUGGGGCAUGAGGCACAUGCCACAAUGCAUAUGUGAAGAUCCGGAAGUCAGCUCUGGUCGGACAAGUUUUCCCCUCCACCUUUGUGUAAGUUCCAAGGAUUGAACUCAGUCUCUCUGGCAUGAGCACCAACAGCAUGUAUUUGCCAGCCAAGUCCUAAUGUGGGCUGACAGUUUGGAAGAAUGCCUCUGAUGUGUCUACUGUUAGAUAAUUUUCAGAAAACAGGAUAUAGAUUUUCAAAGAUGAGAUGGGGAAAAAAUUGUCUGUAGGAGUGUGAGGUCAGUCAGGAAUUACUACCAGCCAUGGGUAGUGGGGCUGAUCUGGAGAAGACACUGCCUUCAGUUCAGGGGACAAAGGCAAUUCAUUGUUCUUAGAAGUUUGCGGGAGGGGGCUGGAGAGAUGGCUCGGUGUUUAAGAGUACUGACUGCUCUUCCCGAGGUCCUGAGUUCAAUUCCCAGCAACCACAUGGUGGCUCACAACCAUCCGUAAUGAGAUCUGAUGCCCUCUUCUGGUGUGUCUGAAGAUAGUGUACUUAUAUAUAAUAAAUAAAUAAAUCUUAAAAAAAAAAAAAAAGAA